rnacentral:tRNA from 1 species
AUUUUUAUAGUUUAUUAAUAAAACAUUGAUUUGUGGAAUCAAAAAAAUUAUUUAAUAUUAAAAAUU